GCCAUUUUGCCACAAGUGGGCAGUGAUUAACUGCUAAUUCAAAUCACAAGGCAGUCAACCUUCUAACCACUGGCUUGGCUUCACCGUCCUCAGCAUGUCCUUUUGUUGGACCUCCCUGACCAUCUGCUCUAGGAAGAAAUCCGGUAGCCAGAGGGAAUAGCUUCCAGACUGCGGGCAGGAGGACAGAAGAGCUGAAGUACGUGAGAUCUAAACCUGGAAGAUGACUGAGGCUCACACCUCAUUUGCUUCUCUGACCACUGCUGCUCACUGAACAGCUGUCUCCAGUGAUCUGUCCAUGAUGAUACAGCCAGUGCUACUUUAAUUUUGCUUGCAAAUAGGCAGCAACAGAUGGCACAAAGCAGAGUGGAGGAAAUGGAUUCAAACCAAUUCACUUGGAGAACGUAAGCCAAGCACAACCACAGGAUCAAACGUAGAAAUGGAGUGCAAGUUCGUCUACUGUUGGUCACCAUUUUUGAGGAAGCAGGUACUGUCAGAUCAUCUUCUCUUAUCUUUUUCAGCUGUUCCUCCAAGUCAGAAAGUAU
rnacentral:lncRNA from 1 species